UGGGGAAUUUUGGACAAUGGGCGCAAGCCUGAUCCAGCCAUGCCGCGUGCGGGAAGAAGGCCUUCGGGUUGUAAACCGCUUUUGUCAGGGAAGAAAUCUUCUGAGUUAAUACCUCGGGAGGAUGACGGUACCUGAAGAAUAAGCACCGGCUAACUACGUGCCAGCAGCCGCGGUAAUACGUAGGGUGCAAGCGUUAAUCGGAAUUACUGGGCGCAAAGCGUGCGCAGGCGGUUUUGUAAGACAGAGGUGAAAUCCCCGGGCUCAACCUGGGAACUGCCUUUGUGACUGCAAGGCUUGAGUGCGGCAGAGGGGGAUGGAAUUCCGCGUGUAGCAGUGAAAUGCGUAGAUAUGCGGAGGAACACCGAUGGCGAAGGCAAUCCCCUGGGCCUGCACUGACGCUCAUGCACGAAAGCGUGGGGAGCAAACAGGAUUAGAUACCCUGGUAGUCCACGCCCUAAACGAUGUCAACUGGUUGUUGGGAAGGUUCCUUCUCAGUAACGUAGCUAACGCGUGAAGUUGACCGCCUGGGGAGUACGGCCGCAAGGUUGAAACUCAAAUGAAUUGACGGGGUCAUAGCUGUUUCCU
rnacentral:rRNA from 1 species